GACAGGGAGGAUGCAGCGUUGUUCGGAAUUACUGGGCGUAAAGGGCUCGUAGGUGGCCAACUAAGUCAGACGUGAAAUCCCCUCAGCUUAACUGGGGGAACUGCGUCUGAUACUGGUUGGCUUGAAUCCGGGAGAGGGAUGUGGAAUUCCAGGUGUAGCGGUGAAAUGCGUAGAUAUCUGGAGGAACACCGGGUGGCGAAGGCGGCAUCCUGGACCGGUAUUGACGCUGAGGAGCGAAAGCCAGGGGAGCAAACGGG
rnacentral:rRNA from 1 species